rnacentral:rRNA from 1 species
GAGGAAGGUGGGGAUGACGUCAAGUCCUCAUGGCCCUUAUGUCCUGGGCUACACACGUGCUACAAUGGCGGUGACAGUGGGAAGCCAGGCAGCGAUGCCGAGCUGAUCCUCAAAAGCCGUCUCCGUUCGGAUUGUACUCUGCAACUCGAGUGCAUGAAGGUGGAAUCGCUAGUAAUCGCGGAUCAGCAUGCCGCGGUGAAUACGUUCCCGGGCCUUGUACACACCGCCCGUCACACCAUGGGAUUUGGUUUGACCUUAAGCAGGUGCGCUAACCCGUAAGGGAGGCAGCCUACCACGGUCGGGUCAGAGACUGGGGUGAAGUCG